AAAAUGUCUAAAAAGUGGAUUUUGCAUGAUAUGGGCCCUUUAAAGUCAUGUUCUGUGGAAAAAUAAAAUGAAAUAAAGGUCUUUGAUUAAACUAACUGACAAACAUGUCUCCUCAAUGUAGUAAUAAACAUAGUUGCAGAAGAACAAAUACAGCUCUAAUAACAUCGGACAUCAAACAUGUUUGCCACAUCAAGGCCACUUAUACAUUAUUAUCCAGAGAGAAACACAAUUACACACCUUUGAUUAAAUAAGUUUUAUUUGACAAUAAAACAUAGACUGUGAUCCUGAACAACCACGUAUCAGAGAGGGUUUGAUGGUCAGUCUGCUCAAGCAGUUCUCACGCACAACCAGCAGAUGCCGUUGUUCUGACUGUGUCAUGAUGGUGUCGAGCAAUGUGUCGAUUUCAGCCCAACUGUGUCAUAGUUGCUCAGUGAUUCAUGAGGCUUCGAUUUCGCCAUCUCUAGUGUCCCACUGUGACGGUCACCCCGCCACAGUGAGUUUAAUGUGUUACCUUUCUGUGUUCUGGGGAUUCCUCCUCUGGGUGGAAAGAGCGGGCGCCACCUAAGCAGGGCUUAAAGGGCCCAUAUCAUGCAAAAUCCACUUUUUAGACAUUUUGGAGCGUCCCUAUGACUCUAUGGGUCACAUAUACACACACUGAGCACGGUAGAAAUGCAUUUCCUGCUUUUUUCACAUUUUAAAAACGUAAAUUUUCUCAUCCAAUGAAAACAGCCACGACCUACUCUGAGGUCGUGUCCCAGUUGUCGUCACACUGGUUGAAAGUUCUCCUUGCAAAUCCUGAACCACCACCCCCACAAUGAUCCCGAACCAAAACUGGACUUCCGCCAUUUCCCCUCUCUCACUCACCGUGAACAGACCAGCACGGCAGCGCCCAAGUCCUCCCAUAGAAAUAGUUCGGUUCUUAGGUGUUCUAACCAACACCAAAGUCUCUUCACUUUACCAAGGGAUCAACAAGUGAGGAUUUGUGGGUCACUUUUAUUUUUAACGGACCGGUGCCAGAAACACUGCCUCAGCAUUUAUACGUAUGUGCAUUUCAAACGAGGGUGCGUACAAUGCUGGAUUUGUUUCACGGCUCCUGUUGGAAAAAAAGGACCUAUUCCUAAAGUCCGUCAUCCACUCACUGCAGAGGGCAAAUCCCAGUUGCCCACAUGCAAGGAGGCUGUCAAACAGAGAAAUCACUGCAGACUGUUGGUACACAGACAUCUGCUGCCCAGCUCAGGAGUGAAGGUAUGUAAGUUUGUAUGUACCAACAGUAAGAUAGGUAAUAGAAGAUUUUAAUUGGUAUAUGCUGUUUAGAUUUUAUAUUUGAAUUGUAACAACUGUUUAUCUGUUGUUUUAGCACAGACAGGCCUGUCCUCUUGUUUGGUUUAAUUUUUUGUCUGGUAUUGUGUGUUCUUACAUUAGAGAAGGUUUUGACCUACAUAAUAAUUAACAUUUCACUAAUCUACAAUUCUGAUUGCACUACCUUUUGUUUUGAUGAGGUGAUGGUGAGGACAGCCACAGCUUCCAUCUGGUAGAGGACUGCUUCCGCUCAGUCUUCCAAAUAGUGAUGAGAACAAGGAUCACCACAUCUCCCUGUUUACCCUACUUUCAUGCAUUUCGUCUGCAAGGCCCUGCAAAAGCUUCUCCUUCGUCCUCAAACCCCCAGACUUCUUAAUUAACUCAGUAACCUAUACAUUGCACAUUGGAGUGUGAAGGUAACAGUUUGUUCUAGCUUUGGAGUAGUGGUGUAUUUUUUUGGUUUACAAUAAAGUUGGCUUUAACUAUUA